rnacentral:rRNA from 1 species
GAUGAACGCUAGCUACAGGCUUAACACAUGCAGGUCGAGGGGUAGCAGGGUAGCAAUACCGCUGACGACCGGCGCACGGGUGAGUAACACGUAUCCAACCUUCCCAUAACUCGGGGAUAGCCUUUCGAAAGAAAGAUUAAUACCCGAUAGUACUUUAUUAAGGCAUCUUAAGAAAGUUAAAGAUUUAUUGGUUAUGGAUGGGGAUGCGUUCCAUUAGAUAGUUGGUGAGGUAACGGCUCACCAAGUCUUCGAUGGAUAGGGGUUCUGAGAGGAAGGUCCCCCACAUUGGAACUGAGACACGGACCAAACUCCUACGGGAGGCAGCAGUGAGGAAUAUUGGUCAAUGGGCGAGAGCCUGAACCAGCCAAGUAGCGUGAAGGAUGAAGGUCCUAUGGAUUGUAAACUUCUUUUAUAGUAGAAUAAAGUGAACCACGUGUGGUUUUUUGUAUGUAUACUAUGAAUAAGGAUCGGCUAACUCCGUGCCAGCCGCCGCCGUAAGAC